rnacentral:lncRNA from 1 species
UCAAAGUAAGUUUCACUUAAAGGUAGAAAAAUAAUAGUUGACUUUAUGAAAUUCAGCCAAUGACAAAAUAACAUGCUUAUCAGUAGAUAUUAAGUAUUUGUAGAGUAAUUGGUUAACAUACUGCUGAUGUCAUAAUUCCGCUACUCAAUAAUAGUUUUGUUAUGUAGGAAGAUACAGCAGCUUGUUUGUGUGAACUUCUGCUUCCACUACAAACAGUACUUUAAAGAGAGGCCUUCCACUGGCAUUCAGAAAGUAUUUACAUUUUUACCUGUUCAAAUCUAACAAGUUGGAACUGUUUCUUGGAUGGGCAAAUAUUCUCUUUAGCAUCUACCAUUUCAAUAAACAAGUUGAAUUUUACAGCCCAUCAAGCAACCAUGUCAGUAGAAUCAUAGGAUCUGAUAGAGACCAUCAUGCAGACAUCAGAGACUGGGUCAGACACAGGCUCGACAGUGACCUUACAAACUUCGGUGGCUAGUCAAGCAGCAGUGCCUACACAGGUGGUACAGCAAGUACCAGUACAACAACAGGUAAGGAGCUGCUGCUCUUAGAAAAGAUGCUGUUACUUUCAUUAUGUUGGCUGUCCAACAUACCUG